CUCUUUAGAGUCAAAGUGUGAAACAGACACGGGGAAGGGCUGCCCGCCCCCAGCAGGGAUGAGGAUGAGGCCCCAGGACCAUUGCUGCCUCUGCAGCCAGCAACUGGUGGUUGAAGCACUGCGCUGCCUGGAUGCUCCUUUCCCAGCACACGGCAUGAGCACACCCGCAGUGAAAACAAUGCAGGCCACAUCUGAUCUCCAACACAACGCGUUUUUGUGGGUCCCGAGAGGAGGUGCUAUCCACUGCUUAAUUUAAAGUAUUCUGUUUCUCCCUGAGCUACUCUUAAUCCGCUCUCUCAUUUCUGCUGCCAAAUGUUAACAGACCAAAAGGCACACGGGACAGGAGACACUUUAUCAGUGCAGUUAAAAAAAAAAACACCUAUGGCUAAAAUAAAUAGUUAAGAGACUGAGCUACACGUUCCAGCUCUAUAAAAGACUGCAGUGCCUCUGCCAGAGCUGGAGUGGUGGAUGAUUCAAAUUUGGUCAUUGUUUAAGAUUACACUUUAUCCCUGAAACUUGAUACUACUUAGAAAUACAUAUGUUGGGAGUGUUAUAGUAACUGUAGCUUAGUCAAACACAUUCAUGAUCCUUCCUGAAACACACAAUCACUCGGUGAAUAAAGCUUGUGAAGGUCAGUAACCACAAAGAUGCAAAGCAAAAAAAGUUUGUACACGUCAGACACCAGUCUGAUGGCAAUUUCCAAAAGGCUAAUUUAAUGGCAAUUGGAUUUUUCCUGCCCUACUGCACCAUUAGCUGACAACCCGCUUCUUCAUCACAUCUGCAAACAGUUCAGUUAGACACUUUUGACAUCUCCCACUUAGAAAAGCUAUUUCCAGGAAGCUAUUAACAAAAAUGGAUUCUUCCUGGUCAAGCUCGGGGUGAAGAGAGCCUUUAGUUAGGGAUGUCAAGGUUGUAGUAAUUGGGUGCCCAGUGUAUAACUCAAUAAAAAGAAAAUCAAUUUUGG